GAAUUCUGCAAUGUACGAAAGUAUGACAGAGCAAGCCAAAGUGCUUCACUUUUUGUGAAGCUUUUGUGUGCUGUAAAAAGGCACACGAAUAAGGACUGGGCAAGACUGGUGCCAGCCGCCGCGGUAAUCCCAGCAGUCCAAGUCGCAGCCACAUUUGUUGGGUCUAAAACAUCCGUAGCUUGUCUUACAAGUCUUUUGUGAAAUCGGGACUCUUAAGGUUCCGGCGGGCAAAAGAUACUGUUUGACUUGAGACCGGGAGACGCAUCGAGUACAGAUAGGGUAGUGGUAAAAUACGUUGAUCCUUUCUGGACUAACAACAGCGAAGGCACGAUGCGAGCACGGUUCUGACAGUGAGGGAUGAAGGCUAGGGGCGCAAAGUGGAUUAGAUACCCAUGUAGUCCUAGCAGUAAACACUGCACACUAAACAUUAGUGCCUCUUCGAGAGGCAUUAGUGCUGUAGGGAAGCCGGAGAGUGUGCUACCUGGGAAGUAUAGUCGCAAGACCGAAACUUAA
rnacentral:rRNA from 1 species